rnacentral:rRNA from 1 species
UACGUAGGUGGCAAGCGUUGUCCGGAUUUACUGGGCGUAAAGAGCGCGCAGGCGGUCGUUCAAGUCGCGUGUGAAAGCCCCCGGCUCAACUGGGGAGGGUCACGCGAUACUGAUCGACUCGAAGGCAGGAGAGGGUAGUGGAAUUCCCGGUGUAGUGGUGAAAUGCGUAGAUAUCUGGAAGAACACCGGUGGCGAAGGCGGUCGACUGGCCCUAAACUGACGCUGAGGCACGAAAGCGUGGGGAUCAAACAGG